GAUGAAGAACGCAGCGAAAUGCGAUAAGUAGUGUGAAUUGCAGAAUUCAGUGAAUCAUCGAAUCUUUGAACGCACAUUGCGCCCCUUGGUAUUCCAUGGGGCAUGCCUGUUCGAGCGUCAUUUGUACCUUCAAGCUUUGCUUGGUGUUGGGUGUUUGUCCUGAGGGACUCGCCUUAAAGUAAUUGGCAGCCAGUGUUUGGUUUUGAAGCGCAGCACAAGUCGCGAUUCAAGGCUAUACACCAGCUUACACAAGCCUUUUUCACUUUUGACCUCGGAUCAGGUAGGGAUACCCGCUGAACUUAAGCAUAUCAAUAAGCGGAGGA
rnacentral:misc_RNA from 1 species